rnacentral:rRNA from 1 species
CUGGCUCAGGACGAACGCUGGCGGCGUGCUUAACACAUGCAAGUCGAGCGGUAAGGCCCUUUCGGGGGUACACGAGCGGCGAACGGGUGAGUAACACGUGGGUGACCUGCCCUCCACUCUGGGAUAAGCCCGGGAAACUGGGUCUAAUACCGGAUAGGACCACUGAUCGCAUGGUUGGUGGUGGAAAGUUUUUUCGGUGGGGGAUGGGCCCGCGGCCUAUCAGCUUGUUGGUGGGGUGAUGGCCUACCAAGGCGGUGACGGGUAGCCGGCCUGAGAGGGCGACCGGCCACACUGGGACUGAGACACGGCCCAGACUCCUACGGGAGGCAGCAGUGGGGAAUAUUGCGCAAUGGGCGGAAGCCUGACGCAGCGACGCCGCGUGGGGGAUGACGGCCUUCGGGUUGUAAACCUCUUUCGCCAGGGACGAAGAGCAAUUGACGGUACCUGGAGAAGAAGCACCGGCCAACUACGUGCCAGCAGCCGCGGUAACACGUAGGGUGCGAGCGUUGUCCGGAAUUAUUGGGCGUAAAGAGCUCGUAGGCGGUGUGUCGCGUCGGCCGUGAAAACUUGGGGCUUAACUCUGAGCGUGCGGUCGAUACGGGCAUCACUUGAGUUCGGCAGGGGAGACUGGAAUUCCUGGUGUAGCGGUGAAAUGCGCAGAUAUCAGGAGGAACACCGGUGGCGAAGGCGGGUCUCUGGGCCGAUACUGACGCUGAGGAGCGAAAGCGUGGGGAGCGAACAGGAUUAGAUACCCUGGUAGUCCACGCCGUAAACGUUGGGCGCUAGGUGUGGGGACCAUUCCACGGUUUCUGUGCCGCAGCUAACGCAUUAAGCGCCCCGCCUGGGGAGUACGGCCGCAAGGCUAAAACUCAAAGGAAUUGACGGGGGCCCG